CCUACGGGUGGCUGCAGUGGGGAAUAUUGCACAAUGGGCGCAAGCCUGAUGCAGCCAUGCCGCGUGUGUGAAGAAGGCCUUCGGGUUGUAAAGCACUUUCAGCGGGGAGGAAGGCGGUGAGGUUAAUAACCUCAUCGAUUGACGUUACCCGCAGAAGAAGCACCGGCUAACUCCGUGCCAGCAGCCGCGGUCAUACGGAGGGUGCAAGCGUUAAUCGGAAUUACUGGGCGUAAAGCGCACGCAGGCGGUCUGUCAAGUCGGAUGUGAAAUCCCCGGGCUCAACCUAGGAACUGCAUUCGAAACUGGCAGGCUAGAGUCUUGUAGAGGGGGGUAGAAUUCCAGGUGUAGCGGUGAAAUGCGUAGAGAUCUGGAGGAAUACCGGUGGCGAAGGCGGCCCCCUGGACAAAGACUGACGCUCAGGUGCGAAAGCGUGGGGAGCAAACAGGAUUAGAUACCCCAGUAGUC
rnacentral:rRNA from 1 species